rnacentral:rRNA from 1 species
UACGUAGGGUGCGAGCGUUAAUCGGAAUUACUGGGCGUAAAGCGUGCGCAGGCGGUUUUGUAAGCCGGCUGGGAAAUCCCCGGGCUUAACCUGGGAAUGGCAUUCGGGACUGCAAGGCUGGAGUGCGGCAGAGGAGACUGGAAUUCCUGGUGUAGCAGUGAAAUGCGUAGAGAUGCGGAGGAACACCGAUGGCGAAGGCAGCCCCCUGGGCCAACACUGACGCUCAGGCACGAAAGCGUGGGGAGCAAACAGG